rnacentral:rRNA from 1 species
CCCUUAGAUGUUCUGGACCGCACGCGCGCUACACUGACGAAUGCAACGAGCUUAUAAUAACCUUGGCCGAAAGGUCUGGGUAAUCUCCAAAUUUCGUCGUGAUGGGGAUAGAUUAUUGCAAUUAUUAAUCUUCAACGAGGAAUGCCUAGUAAGCGCAAGUCAUCAGCUUGCGUUGAUUACGUCCCUGCCCUUUGUACACACCGCCCGUCGCUCCUACCGAUUGAAUGGUCCGGUGAAGCGUUCGGACCGUGGCCUUUGGACGGUUCGCCGUCUGUUGGCUGCGGGAAGUUCGUUAAACCUUAUCAUUUAGAGGAAGGAGAAGUCGUAACA